rnacentral:rRNA from 1 species
AGUAACGCGUGAGGAACCUGCCUCAAAGAGGGGGACAGCAGUUGGAAACGACUGCUAAUACCGCAUAAGCCCACGGCUCGGCAUCGAGCAGAGGGAAAAGGAGUGAUCCGCUUUGAGAUGGCCUCGCGUCCGAUUAGCUAGUUGGUGAGGUAACGGCCCACCAAGGCAACGAUCGGUAGCCGGACUGAGAGGUUGAACGGCCACAUUGGGACUGAGACACGGCCCAG